ensembl:snRNA U6 U6 spliceosomal RNA
GUGCUCGCUUUGGCAGCACAUAUACUAAAAUUAGAACCCUACAGAGAAGAUUAGCAUGGCCCCAGCACAAGGAUGAUACACAAAUUUGUGAAGCGUUCCAUAAAAAA